CCCGCCAUUAUUCGUGUUUACUACUGACGAUGUUUUGAAAUGUAAAAGACUCUCAUGCCAUAAUUUAAGAUCACAUAUGAUAUGGCAUGUGACAGCUUGUAUUUUCUACCGUCUGAAAUCGCCCGUCUGGUUUUAGGUUAUCUACAAUCGGAAGGCUACGUCAAAACUUACAAGAACUUUGUGAAAGAAUGUCCUCAUCUAAGCGAAUAUGUCAACUUCAUGAAGAAGGGCCAAUAUUACCCAUUGACAAUCAAUGGUUUGGCCCUUAUGCAGAUCCUGGAAGAAUAUGGGGCUCUAAGAGUAGCAGAAACUACCAAGAAAUUAACACCAAACCCGGCUCUAAGUUCCCUAUGGUGUCAGUUUGACUCAGUUGUGGACAAUAUCAAGAAACGUAUGGCUUCUAAUUCAAAUUUGGUAUACAAAGGCCAUGAAAACCAAAAGUCCAGGACACGAAUGCAGAUGGUGGAACGGCGACGUAAUCAAAUCAAAGCUUCUGUAACCAAUGUUGAUCCAGAUAUCAUCCAGCCCCACAACUCCAAAACACUUGUCACGCCACUGGUGGUCACCCGGGCAAUUUUGCAGAACAAGGCUGACUCGGAUUACAGUCUAUCACAGCCAGCCUCACCAUCAGAUGGUGGUGAAGGACCCGAUGAUAAUGACUCUGAUGUGUACGAAAUGUCAGUGGAUGUCCCUAGUGGAACUGAAAUAAUGAAAUUACCUACAUCCCAACCAACAAAAGAAGGUUCUAGUGAAAUGAGACCUAUUAAAGCUUUACCAAGUCCAAGGUCAGAUACAGUCUGUACUUUGCAGAAUUCUUCUGAAAAAUACCAAGCAUCAGAAUGCUCUACAGUUAACAAAGUUACAGAAUUGUCUGCCAGAAAGGUUCCCAUGGUUCCAUCCAUUUCCUCAGUCACAAUGACAGUUUCAACAGUAGCUGCACAUGCUGACACAGAAAUGACAAAUGUUCCAGGCUCACCAGCUGUUGGUCUUGUGUCAUCUCACAAAACACCUGUCAAAAACCAUACUACUGUGGAGCCUGGAUUGGAGAAGUCACCAAGGCGGAAGAGACCACCAAAGAGAAAACCACAAGGAGAACUUCGCAGACAGAAUAAGUCUGACUCCAGUAUAGCACAUGGUAUAGGUAGCCACAAUGAAAGUAGUAACAGCACCGAUGGAUCAGCCCUGGAAAACUCCUUCCCUCAAAUAUUGGAGCACAUCAUGAAUGAUCCAUUGCUUCCACACAAACUUGCUGAGAACAUCAACAAGAGUCUUCACCCUGAGGUGAUCCCAGACCCUGGUACACCAGCUGCCCUUCCUCAUGUGGAUUCAAUCCCUGAUAGUCCCUUCAUAGGUCGCUCUCUCGAGGAUAUACUUGACCAACAGGAAACACAGAUGCCAGCAUCUUCCAUCAAUGGAAUUAUAGAACUCACAGAGAGGGAUCCGAAUUUUGAGUGGCUGUUCUCUGCAGGUGUUUGUUAUCUGGAUGAGGCCGCCCAUGACCGUGAUUUUACAGACAGCGAACACAAGAGUCGCAGUAAUGGACUAGUACAGUCCUCCACCAGAAACACUACACAGCAGCCACAACCUGGCUCCUCAGGUAGUAAGAUGGAUUUUGUCCCGGCAUCUGACAGGUCCUUUGGUGGGCUGACAUCGGAGAACAUACCUUUUACUCCUCCUACCAAUUUUAUGCCAAUAUCAGAAGACAUUGAAAGCAACUUAUUCAAAAUAUCUGUGCCAAAUUUUUCAAACUCUCCAACAAGCAAUGCUGAAUCAUUCCACAGCAUUACUCAAUAUACAACAACCACAACCAGAGAUGAAGCUCGUGCCACACAGUUUCCAAUCACAGGCAGUGUGACAUCUUCGACCUUACACCAGCCAAAGACAAGUAAUGUUAAAACCCAGUUGCCAUUGACAACUUGUGAUAGUGCUUCUCAGCAGUUUGCUACCUCAGCUGUACAAAGUGUGACAAUAUGUGUGACAGCUCAGGCUCUGGCAACUGUCACAUCCCAUCAACCAAUCACUUCUAGACUCUCGUCCCAGCCAAUCACAACAGCAGUGACAUCCAUACAACCAAUCACCUCGUCUUUCUCCACUGGUUAUGGUAAAGAGACGGUAGAGUCCACCCUUACCUCCCCUCACGGUUUCCCUGUGCUGUCCCUCAGGAGCUCUGUCAAUGAUGAUGACUUGCCAGAUCCUUUAUCGUCGUUCACUAUACAAUCACCAGUCAAGCCAUGUGUGACAAGUCAGUGUCACACCAGUGAGGUGAGAGGAAGCACCUUGUCAGCUUCAUAUUCUACAUUUGUGAGCGGCAUGAAUGACGGACAACAUAGCAGUACUCCCAUCACUGGGCGAGUCAAUGCUGGUCUUGUUUUGCCUUGUGUGACAGGCAUUACCUCCAGUCAAGAAUUAACAAAAAAAAUCCCAGCUGUUCCAUCUACCUCUCCAGCGGUGUUUGCCAAGCCCCAUUCAGCUGUUCCAACUACCUCCCCAAAGUCAUUGCCAACCAUCAACAUCCGUAGUCUUAUGGAUAAACUGGAAGCUAAAGCCAAAGGAGAGGUAGUAGAGAUAGACCUACAGCCAAAACCAGCUGCCAAACCAAGUACCAAGGGUCGGGGCAGGAAGAAAAAUCCCCCACCACAGAAGUCAUCCCCAAAAUCUGUCCAGCCUAAACCACUAGAUCCAUCAGGUGCAGGAAUUUGGUCUUCAGAACUAUCAGCUUUAGUGAAAAUUGCCUCUCCUGAGAAAUGCACAACUCAAAGCUCAAGUGUCAAAAGGUCACGUGUCACAAGGUCAAGUGCUGCAAAGAUGUCCGAUUUGAAUAGUGAUCAGACAGUUCAACAGCCCAGGAAAACUAAGAAGGGAAAUGAAACAUUCAUGGCCGUUUUAUCACCCAGUGGCAGCUGUGUACACCAUGUACCUGUCCUGGAAGUUAACUCCCUUAGCGAGUUUUCUGAUGCUAAGGAUUUGGUUCCUAUGGGACAACUUGUUCCAACUAGCAUACCUGUGGUGACGUCAUCAUAUGUAACCCUGACAACAACACAGACUUUGAUAACAUCAUCUCUGCCUUUAUCAACCCAGAGUAAUUCUAUCUUAUCUGUGUCCCUGUCAGCUGUACCAUCCGUGACAUCUUCACUACAAACUGAGUGUAUUUCAAAGGUAGUGACAACAAUGACAUCGUCAUGUUUACCAUUCGUCCAGAAGGAUGCCCCUCAGACUCCCCCGACCAACACCUGUCACACAGACUAUCCCAGCAUGCCUGACUUACAUGGUUCCCAACCUUCUCUACCAGUGCCUGCCACCACCUGUGACAAACCGAAGGACAUACAACCAGAUCAUGCUUCUGUCCUUAAUGAUGCCUACUCUGCAGAUCGAGACUUCCUGGAGUCACCCUGCUCUAGUAUGUCUGGUUAUGAUGAUGGGUCUGCUCGUAGAGAUCAUGUUAUGGAGUCAGGUGUGAAAUCAAUGACUGAACAUCUCAGUGUUUAUUGUGGGAUUCCUGUUGACAAGGUAACACAGAGAGAUAUAUAUGCACGGCCACUGGACUUUGGUUCUGCAGUUCCACACUCAAGCUCGACAGAAGUCUCCUCUCCUCUCAGACAGCCCUCUUUUGGUCGCGGCAAGAAAACUCCAGUCACAAAGAAAAAGAAAAUGGGUAGACCUCCAGGAAGGAGAUCAACACGUGGAAAAUCACAGUUGAAUGCUGGUGAGGACAUUAUGAAUUCUCCAAUAUCAUCAAGAGAGGUGACCAAGGCUUCACAACAAAAUGUGAUGUCUCCUACUUGUAGUAGAACUGGUAGUUGUGUUGGGCAGUUCGACUCCUGUACUGACUCACUGGAUGGACCACCCUCACAACAAGCCUAUGGCACUCCACUUCGGGGUAAGGCAUUGUCAUCUCCAGGCAUUCCCUCUUACACCUCCUCACAUGUGGGGGAAAAGACUGUUGCAGUGACAUCAGGUCAGGUCAGAAGUCCCAGUGAGCCAGCAUGCACACCUCUUCAAGACAUCAACAACAGUCCUGCAGGUACACCCGACAAACUGAUGAUUUGUACACCAACUCACACUGACUACAUACCAACAAAGGGGGCUACAUCUCAACGUCAAGUCUUAACCCUAGGAAAUGUGGGAGCAUUAAGCCUGCACGAAGUUGUGAAUUCUCCAUCUUAUGACGAUAUGGCAAGUCGAGAUAGUGUUUUAUCUAAGCAUGCCCCAAGCCCAUCAGUACAAGGACUUCUUAUACAUCAAUGUGAGCAAGAUGGUGAUAGAAAACAGACUGAGACAUCGGAGGACAUUUCAAAUUUAAAACUUACGGAACAUUAUAAUAAUGAAGCUAUGGAGACACUGGACAAAAUUCCAUCUCCACAUCAGGUCUUGGAUAAUGCAAAGAGCAUUCAUGAAUCAGAGAUCAGCAGUGCUGUCUUGUCUAUUCAAGACAAUGCUAUUUCUGUGGAGAUUUGUAGGUCUAGUCCUGUCAACAUGUCGGAGAGUAGAAAUACAGCCUCAGGUAGGAAGCCUACUUCACCAAACCCUCACACUCAACAGAAGGUGUCUAUACCCUUACCGGACACACUUCAACAGCUAACUAACCCCACAGGCAAGGAGUCUGAUAUAAUGAUCAGCAUUGAUAAUCAACGUUUGUCCACUGAGGCCAGCGACAAUAGCCAGCAAUCACAAGGCACAGUCGAAGUUCAGCAGUCAGACAUCGGCAAUCAGUCAGUGACUAACAGUAACUCAAAAAGUCAGCAAAAUCCUAUCCAAUUUGAUACAUUCAAAAUCAAAUCGCAUCAAGGUGGCUCAUAUUCCCAGCCUGAAAACUCCAAUGGAAACAAAUGUAAUACAAUAAACCCAACUGUUAAAAACCAAAGUCAUGUCAUCAACCAAUCACAAAGCCCUACAACCCACCGAUCACAAGACCAUGUAAUCAACCAAUCACUAGAUUACCAAAGCAUUUUAAAAGUUUCACAAUCGAUGAUGAGUUCAACUAAUAUAUUAGAAGAUGCUAUGAAGCAGGUAUUUUCAGCUUCAGAUCAACAGCAGACAUUUUUUAGUUCAGCUCCUGUCUUGACUGGUACACAAUUAAUGGAAAAUUCAUCUACAAAUCACCAGGCUGUGCCUUGUAGAGGGACACCUUCCCAGGUGGUCAGUUCUCCAGCACCUGUGGUUAGUCAAAAACAGUUCAUUGUAUAUUCUCCAGCUCCUACCCAGACAGUGCAGUCCACAGCUGCAUCUACACCGGUAGUUCACUCGACUGCUCCCGUCUUGACUCAUUCUCAGUUUAUAGUCAACUCACCUGCUCCUGUUACACCAGCAUCAUUUAUUGUUACGUCAACAACUUACCCAGCUACACCUAUAGCCUGUCAAUCACAGUUUGUCUUGAACUCACCAGCAACCCCUGUGAUGGUCAAGUCCCCUGCAACUCCAUUGAUUGUCAAUUCACCAGCUACUCCUCAAGUUGUCAACUCACCUGCUGCUGUGAUGGCUACUGCCCCAUACAAAAGUGUGUGUUCUCCUGCUCCACAUAAAGUGCCCUCAAGGGCUCCCACACCUCAGAUGGAACCUACAGACUUUAUCCCUGAUCGAUCUGGGACAAUCUACGUUACCCCAAAUGUGCUGGCACAGAUGUCAUGUGAGAAAAGUUUGGUGGUGCAGCAGGAGAGAGCAGUCACUACCACCUCCUUGGUACCAUGUUCAACGGUUGGUUCCACUGUAGACAACCGUCUGAAUCAUGGUAUUCGAGGACCAGAUGUAGGUCAAUCGCCCUGUGCUCAGUAUCAAUCUGACCAGGAUAUCUUUGCAGAGACUACAGAUGAGGAGGUGGCUGAACCUGCUCCAGUUCUAAAAGCACCAUCAAAAUUGCCCAUCAUCACAGAGGUCUCCCAUGAUAUUGCCAAGAUUCCCUCCCUGUUUGAUACCAUGGAUGGACACAACCAAGUCAUGACACAAGCAGAGAACACACCGCCUCCCUGUCGCACAGGAAGAGACAGUCCUCGAUACUUUUCAGCAUUAAGCAACAGUAAUGAUGAUCCAGUGAGUGAUCAGUCAUCUAGGAUGGAGACUUCUCCAAGUAGUCCUAACAGUGGAGAGUUGAAAUCGCAGAAUCAUCCUAAUAACUCAGCAAAAGCUGAUAUCCAAGUCUCACAAGUGAGUGACAGUGACGAUGACAUAGAUAUAUUGGGGGACUGGGACCAUGAUUUGUCAGCAGGGGAGAUAACCAAAGUUCCCAUAACAGAACACACCAUCAGCCAUGACAGUACCUCUUUGUGUAAUGUAUCAUGUAGUCCUAAAAAGACAGCUUGGCAAACUGGCUUUGCCACCAAGCCUUCCUCGACCACGUCAGCUUUUAUCAGAAAAAUUCUAGAACAGAAAAAUACACAACAGUCUUCUGAAAAGAAAAGUCCUGUACGUACAGAAAGUAUUUCCUUAACGACACAGACUGCUUCACAGAAGAUUAGCCCGGAGUUAACAGCUAGUUCUACAGUUACUCUGUCAACACAAAACAAGCCAGUCUCUGCCGAUCAUCAUGCCAAAGAGAAAGUUCCGAGGCGAGUUCAAGUCAUUACAUUAAGUAAGGAAGUGUCGAAGGUCAGUAAAGACGCUCAAAAUGCUGUACAAAGUGCUCGGGGACCCUUCAAACAUCCCCAGGAACUCACGCCAAGGAAAUCAUCACACAAUAGUGGCAAACUGACAAGCCAAGUGAAACACUCCACCAGUAAUGACAAGGGUUCUAGUGGUGGAGGUUCAGCUGAGAAAGACGUGCCACCCCACCACCAAUAUAUAACUCCACCAAAAAAGAGGUUUACAGCAUCACUUAAAAGUGGGGAUGGAUUGUACUUUGUAUCCUCUGCUGCACAGCAAGGGAAUGUUUCCACUAACAUGAGAGACCAUUCACACCAGUCGGAGAGUCACAAUUCUAGUGCUAAGGUGUCACUUCCUGGACAGAGUCCUCGGAAGAAUAGAAAGUCAACUUUGACCCCCAGGAAAGACAUAGACUCAAGUCAUGUAACCCAAGGUAAUCACAGUAGAACAGAAAGUAGAGCUUCAGACACUUUAUCUUGUCAUGGUAGGACUUCAAGAAGUCCAUCUCGUGCUCCUCAUGAUCAAAGAACUUCAGAAAGGAAAUCACAAAGUCCAUCUCAUAGAAAAGCUUCAGAUAGGACAUCGCAAAGUCCAUCUCAUAGCAAAAAUACAGAUAGGACAUCGCAAAGUCCAUCUCAUAGCAAAAGUACAGAUAGGACAUCGCGAAAUCCAUCUCAUAGAAAAACUUCAGACAGAAUACCACAAAGUCCAUCUGGUCAUAAAAUAUCAGGAAGGUCAUCACAAAGCCCAUCUCCACAUAGAACAGUUUUCAACAGAACUACAGAAAGCCCCUCAAGAAGUAAAAAUCUAGAGAGGGUUUAUGCAAGUCCAAGUAUAAGGCGGAAAGUGUUUGAAACCAGUGUAAAUAACGACAGAAGAGUUGGUAAAAGUGAGGACAGGACCCCUCAUGUGAACACAGAAUAUGAUAAAGACAAUAAAAAUGUAGAGAGAGUCCACACAAGAUCCUCUAUAGGUCGGCCUAGUUCUUCAGCAUCCCACCCCCGAUCAUCUGGAUCAGGAACUUCCAACAAAAAUACGACCCAGCGGCAGACAUCCCCAACUCACAAACGAGGUCACAAACGUCACGUGGACAGUUAUCAAAGUGGGGAGGUCAAGACGAAAAGAGCCAAAAAGAGCAACACGCCAAUUGAUCUUACAAAACUAGAUGUGGACAAGUUUCUCAACAGUGAUGUGUACAUCAAGGGCAGACUGGAAAAGUGAUCUAGGUGUCCAACAUAGCACUAACAGUCUACUGAGGGAACAAGUGAUCUAGGUGUCCAACUUAGCACUAACAGUCUACUGACAGAACAAGUGAUCUAGGUGUCCAACAUAGCACUAACAGUCUACUUACAGAACAAGUGAUCUAGGUGUCCAACAUAGCACUAACAGUUUACUGAUGGGACAAGUGAUCUAGGUGUCCAACAUAGCACUAACAGUCUACUGACAGAACAAGUGAUCUAGGUGUCCAACAUAGCACUAACGGUUUACUGAUGGGACAAAUUUCCGAGGUGACAACUAACUGGAAUAGGACCAGCAUAUUAUAACAAAUGAUACUGCCCGGAGAAUACAGAUGACUUUGGGUAUAUUGGUGGUCAGUGUAAUAGGCAGUAUUGUAAGUCAUUGUGAUAUUAUAGAAGUAUACAUGUACAUUUUGUAGUGAUAUUGUGUUUCAUUGUGUACCUGUAUAACAUUGUAUAUGUGGU
rnacentral:misc_RNA from 1 species